CUUAUGCAUGCAAGUCGAGCGAUGAGACUCCUACGGGAGCACAUCAGCGGCAGACGGGUGAGUAACACGUAGAUGACGUACCCUCAAGACGGGGAUAACGGAUGGAAACAUGCGCUAAUACCGGAUGACCUUACGAUGUCAGAAUGGCAAGGAAAGCUACGGCGCUUGAGGAGCGGUCUGCGGCCCAUCAGCUAGUUGGUAGGGUAAAGGCCUACCAAGGCGAAGACGGGUAGGGGGUGUGAGAGCACGGCCCCCCACAAUGGGACUGAGACACGGCCCAUACUCCUACGGGAGGCAGCAGCAGGGAAUAUUGCACAAUGGACGGAAGUCUGAUGCAGCGACGCCGCGUGAGUGAAGAAGGCCUUCGGGUUGUAAAACUCUUUUGAGGGGGAAGAGCGAGGACGGUACCCCUGGAAUAAGCGUCGGCUAACUACGUGCCAGCAGCCGCGGUAAGACGUAGGACGCGAGCGUUAUCCGGAUUUACUGGGCGUAAAGCGUCUGUAGGCGGAUGUGUAAGUUGGGCGUGAAAGCUCCGGGCGUAACCCGGAGAGGCCGUUCAAUACUGCAUAACUUGAGGGUGUCAGAGGGGAGCGGAAUUCCGGGUGUAGUGGCGAAAUGCGUAGAGAUCUGGAGGAACGUCGGUGGCGUAAGCGGCCAACUGGGCCUGACCUGACGCUGAGGCACGAAAGCGUGGGGAGCGAACCGGAUUAGAUACCCGGGUAGUCCACGCCGUAAACGAUGUCGGCUCGGUGUGUGAUGCUAUUACGGUGUCGCGUGCCCAAGCUCACGCGGUAAGCCGACCGCCUGGGGACUACGGCCGCAAGGCUAAAACUCAAAGGAAUUGACGGGGGCCCGCACAAGCAGCGGAGCGUGUGGUUUAAUUCGACGCAACGCGAAGAACCUUACCCAGAUUUGACAUGCGACUGCAAGCGUACGGAAACAUGUGACCUUCGAGGGUGUCGCACAGGUGCUGCAUGGCUGUCGUCAGCUCGUGUCGUGAGAUGUUGGGUUAAGUCCCGCAACGAGCGCAACCCUCGCCGUCAGUUAUCAGUGUCUGGCGGGACUGCCGACUGUUGGUCGGAGGAAGGCGGGGAUGACGUCAAGUCCGCAUGGCCCGGACGUCUGGGGCGACACACACGCUACAAUGACCAGCACAGCACGCCGCAAACCCGCAAGGGGGAGCUAAUCGCCAAAGCUGGUCUCAGUGCAGAUCGGGGGCUGCAACUCGCCCCCGUGAAGGCGGAGUUGCUAGUAACCGCGUAUCAGCCAUGGCGCGGUGUAUACGUACCCGGGCCUUGUACACACCGCCCGUCACGUCAUGGGAGUUGGCAAUGCCUGAAGUCCGUGGCUCAACC
rnacentral:rRNA from 1 species